rnacentral:rRNA from 1 species
UUGGAGGGCAAGUCUGGUGCCAGCAGCCGCGGUAAUUCCAGCUCCAAUAGCGUAUAUUAAAGUUGUUGCGGUUAAAAAGCUCGUAGUUGAGUUUCGGGAUCAAUGGAUUGGUCAUGCCGUUGGUAUGUACUGAUUUUAUUGAUUCUCACCUUCUAAAGAAUCAUAAUGCCAUUAAUUUGGUGUUGUGAGGAAUUAGGACUGUUACCUUGAAAAAAUUAGAGUGUUUAAAGCAGGCUUACGCUUGAAUACAUUAGCAUGGAAUAACGAAAUAGGACAUCGCAUUCUAUUUUGUUGGUUUCUAGGAUCGAUGUAAUGAUUAAUAGGGAUAGUUGGGGGCAUUAGUAUUCAAUUGUCAGAGGUGAAAUUCUUGGAUUUAUUGAAGACUAACUACUGCGAAAGCAUUUGCCAAGGAUGUUUUCAUUAAUCAAGAACGAAAGUUAGGGGAUCGAAGACGAUCAGAUACCGUCGUAGUCUUAACCAUAAACUAUGCCGACUAGGGAUCAGAUGAUGUUAAUUUUUUAAUGACUCAUUCGGCACCUUACGGGAAAC